GUCUAUGGCCAUGCCACCCUGAACACGCCCAAUCCCAUCUGAUCUCGGAAGCUAAGCAGAGUCGGGCCUGGUUAGUACUUGGAUGGGACACCACCUAGGAAGACCAGGUGCUGUAGGCG
rnacentral:rRNA from 1 species